UCAUCUUCUCCUUCUUCAUCAUCCACGGCCUUGCCUUUGGUCGGAUAUUUUGGCGUGAAGGCACAACUCCCAUUGCGUGACUGAUGCGGCUGUGGUUGUCCCGUAUAGCAAUGAGCCAAUGAGGCGUGUGGCAUAUCUCAGUACUGGGCUCCGGAUAAGUGACUCCUUUGCCUGAGAAGAUCUAUAAACCCCUGUGUCAAUCGUUUCCCAGAAGUUGAACAGCUCUGACGUCCAAUAAAGACCAGAUGUCCUCUCCCCUGCACUCAA
rnacentral:lncRNA from 1 species